UACAGAGGUGGCAAGCGUUGUUCGGAAUUACUGGGCGUAAAGGGCGCGUAGGCGGUUCUGUAAGUCCCGCGUGAAAUCCCCCGGCUCAACUGGGGAACUGCGCGGGAAACUGUGGGGCUAGAGUUCAGGAGAGGGAAGCGGAAUUCCGGGUGUAGCGGUGAAAUGCGUAGAUAUCCGGAGGAACACCGGUGGCGAAGGCGGGUCUCUGGACAGUUCCUGACACUGAGACACGAAGGCCAGGGGAGCAAACGGG
rnacentral:rRNA from 1 species